rnacentral:rRNA from 1 species
GACGAACGCUGGCGGCGUGCUUAACACAUGCAAGUCGAACGGAAAGGCCCUGCUCUUGUGGGGUGCUCGAGUGGCGAACGGGUGAGUAUCACGUGUGUAACCUCCCCUUGACUUUGGGAUAACACCAGGAAACUGGGGCUAAUAUCGGAUAGGAGCUCUUGCUGCACGGUGGGCGUUGGAAAGUUUCGGCGGUUGGGGAUGGACUCGCGGCUUAUCAGCUGGUUGGGGGGGUAGUGGCUUACCAAGGCUUUGACGGGUAGCCGGCCUGAGAGGGUGACCGGGGACAAUAGGACUGAGGUACGGCCCAGAAUCCUACGGGAGGCAGCGGGGGGAAGUAUUGCAGAAUAGGCGGAAGCCUGAUGCAGCAACGCCGCGUGCGGGAUGACGGCCUUCGGGUUGUGAACCGCUUUCGAAUGUGACGAAGCGAGAGUGACGGUAAUGAAUAAAGAAGCACCGGCUAACUACGUG